UCCGGCAAAACCUCCAAAUUUCACGGCGAACGGCCGCCGGACGCGCCCGGAUCGGACGUCCGAAGUUUGGCGGCGAUUUUUCCCCUCCACCGCCGGCCACCGCGAAUCGGCACUAUUCCGGCCGAUAUACAGUACACGCGCCAUACACCCAGCAUCCUCUCCUCAAGUCCGGCCUACCCACCAAAAAUCACGGCCAUCGGACCACCGACGCGCCGGGAUCGGAGCGUUUUCCGGCGAGGGGUCGAAAAUCUUCAAACGGUGAUUUCUCCGCCGUCCGACCUCCGUUUUGCUCACCGUCGGUCCCGUUGGAUUGCUCUCCUCACGAUCUACAAAUCUGCAAAAUUUCACAGCAAACAGCCACCGUCGGAAAUUACUGUUCCGGCGACGGUUGCCGGUGACGUGGCGGCCGCCGGAAAUCACUGUUCCGGCGAGUACCCCGAAAAUUCCGGCCAGCUCCAGUCCGCAGUGUUCGACCUCCUGAACCCAAAUCCGACUUCCGUUUCCACCAAUUCGCGACGGUUUGGGAGAAUUGCGGAGCCGAAACCCGAAAAGCUUCCCGAUAAAAUUCCGACCCCGUCGGGUACGAUCAUCGGAAAUUAAGACCGGAUCUGUGAUUAGCAUCACUCGAGCUUCGAUUCGGUGCACGUGCAAGUAGCGGAGUCGAUCCUGCGGAGGAUCUUGAUUGAGAUACGUGCACAAGGUACCAGGUUGUCGGUGUUCACUCGGAGCGGACUUGAUCUUCCUCGCUGUAUUUGUUCGCGCAGUACCUUGUUCUUCUUUUACUGCAGUUGUAAUAUUUCGUUCACUUUUGCUGUAUUCUGUAUUUUGUAGUACUUCAUAAAGCUCUGUAUACUGUAUGGGACACUUAUGUAUUUGUAUUGCACUGGAUUACUGUAUUUUUAUUUUGGAGUGCUGAAAUUUGUGGAACCAGUUCGUCGUACUGUGGGAGGAAUAAGGGAACAAUUAUAGAAGUGUGUUUUCAG